UCUGUUUGAGAAAAUGUCUCAAUAUGUAUUAAGUAGGAUUCUUCUUGCUUCAAUUAUAUUCCUAUUUGUGUUUCAUUAAUUGAGAUUCUAAAUUAUGUUUUUCUCUAAUAUUACUUGGCAGGCUCAUAGCGUUGUUGAUGAAGGUUAGGAAUGAGGUAAGUCUUUUGAUCAGUUGCCGACAAAAUGUUCGUCUAUAUUUGAUAACAAAAAAGCUGUGAAUUGCAAUUGUAGGAGCUAUGGGUUGAAUCAUUCAUUCUCAAGGUAUCUUGACAGCAAAAGAAACAACAAACGGUAUGUGUUUCUUAUUGUUUUAUUUUGUUACAUAUCAGAUAAGAAAUGGUAGCAACAUAAAUUCAGUGUUGGUUUAUGGUCAUGAUACUUGCUAACUCCACAACUUGCAUUAAAGAAGAAUGACACUGUUAUGUGAGUUUUCAUAUUGGAAGUUUUUGAGAAAUCUGAUUUUCAAAUCAGUCUUGGAAAAAAUUCCUUUAAUGUAGGUUUAUUUCCAUCCAUCAAUGGUGUAUUAAUAAUAUUAAUUAGGUUGAGUGAAAAAUUGUUAUUGUGAAAGAAGCAAUUAAGUGUUGAUAAUAGAAAGUGCAUCAAAUUUCAAAUUUCCUCUGUACCAUAAUUUUAAUAUUUGGUUUCAAAUUUCUCCCAACACAGGUUAAAAUUUGAAUUUUUUUUUGCCUAAUUUUUUAGUUUUUAUUAGGACCAAAAUCUGCAUUUUGUGCCAUAAAAGGGUAGUUUUGGGUUGUUGCAAAUUGCACCUGAUAAAAGCGCUGGAGCCUUUGUUAAUUUUGUGUUGUACACCUCAUUUUCUAAGGCACAAUGGUGAAUAUGUGUACAAGGUCUCUCCUAUAUUAUUAGUUCUGCGCAUUUUAAUAACGAAAAUUCUACCAUGCCGUAGUCGAAACAGCGGAUUUAAAUCCGUCGGCUUCACUGACCAAUAGGAAGAGAGUUUAACCAAGGGUUUCACAAGUCAACUUAUGUGAAGGGAAAAGAAGAAAACAAUAAAAAAUAGUGAGAAAAAAAUUGGAAUUGUAAUGGAAGCAAGCAACACAUGGUGUAUUUUUUUAAUGGAAGUAUAACAUUGUUUUUCAUUUUUAUUUGUCAAUGUCUUUACUUAUUCAAAUGUA
rnacentral:lncRNA from 1 species